GAUGAACGCUGGCGGCGUGCCUAAUACAUGCAAGUCGAGCGAACAGACGAGGAGCUUGCUCCUCUGACGUUAGCGGCGGACGGGUGAGUAACACGUGGAUAACCUACCUAUAAGACUGGGAUAACUUCGGGAAACCGGAGCUAAUACCGGAUAAUAUAUUGCACCGCAUGGUUCACUAGUGAAAGACGGUUUUGCUGUCACUUAUAGAUGGAUCCGCGCCGCAUUAGCUAGUUGGUAAGGUAACGGCUUACCAAGGCAACGAUGCGUAGCCGACCUGAGAGGGUGAUCGGCCACACUGGAACUGAGACACGGUCCAGACUCCUACGGGAGGCAGCAGUAGGGAAUCUUCCGCAAUGGGCGAGAGCCUGACGGAGCAACGCCGCGUGAGUGAUGAAGGUCUUCGGAUCGUAAAACUCUGUUAUUAGGGAAGAACAAAUGUGUAAGUAACUAUGCACGUCUUGACGGUACCUAAUCAGAAAGCCACGGCUAACUACGUG
rnacentral:rRNA from 1 species